ACGCUAGCGGCAGGCCUAAUACAUGCAAGUCGGACGGGAUUCAGGGAGUAGCUUGCUACGAACUGAUGAGAGUGGCGCACGGGUGCGUAACGCGUGAGCAACCUACCCAUAUCAGGGGGAUAGCCUCUCGAAAGAGAGAUUAACACCGCAUAACAUCAUUUACCGGCAUCGGUUUAUGAUCAAAUAUUUAUAGGAUAUGGAUGGGCUCGCGUGACAUUAGCUAGUUGGAGAGGUAACGGCUCACCAAGGCUACGAUGUCUAGGGGCUCUGAGAGGAGAAUCCCCCACACUGGUACUGAGACACGGACCAGACUCCUACGGGAGGCAGCAGUAAGGAAUAUUGGUCAAUGGAGGCAACUCUGAACCAGCCAUGCCGCGUGCAGGAUGACUGCCCUAUGGGUUGUAAACUGCUUUUGUCAGGGAAUAAACCUUUCUACGUGUAGAAAGCUGAAUGUACCUGAAGAAUAAGGAUCGGCUAACUCCGUGCCAGCAGCCGCGGUAAUACGGAGGAUCCAAGCGUUAUCCGGAUUUAUUGGGUUUAAAGGGUGCGUAGGCGGUCCUAUAAGUCAGUGGUGAAAGACGGCAGCUUAACUGUCGCAGUGCCUUUGAUACUGUAGGACUUGAAUCUAUUUGAAGUGGGGCGGAAU
rnacentral:rRNA from 1 species